rnacentral:rRNA from 1 species
GGCCCAACGCCGUAUUGCGUUGGAAACUGUCAAACUAGAGUCCUGGAGAGGUAGGCGGAACUACAAGUGUAGAGGUGAAAUUCGUAGAUAUUUGGAGGAAUGCCGAUGGGGAAGCCAGCCUACUGGACAGAUACUGACGCUAAAGCGCGAAAGCGUGGGGAGCAA